rnacentral:tRNA from 1 species
GCCGGAGUGGUGGAAUUGGUAGACACAGGGGACUUAAAAUCCCCCGAUCCGAAAAGAUUGUGCCGGUUCAAGUCCGGUCUCCGGCA